GCUUGUCUCAAAGAUUAAGCCAUGCAUGUCUAAGUAUAAGCCUUUGUACGGCGAAACUGCGAAUGGCUCAUUAAAACAGUUAUAGUUUAUUCGAUAAUCAAUUGCUACAUGGAUAACUGUGGUAAUUCUAGAGCUAAUACAUGCACCCAUGCCCGACUUUGUGGAAGGGUUGUGUUUAUUAGUUACAGAACCAACCCAGGCUCUGCCUGGUCUUGUGGUGAUUCAUAAUAACCGAACGAAUCGUAUGGCAUCAGCUGGCGAUGAAUCAUUCAAGUUUCUGACCUAUCAGCUUCCGACGGUAGGGUAUUGGCCUACCGUGGCAAUGACGGGUAACGGAGAAUUAGGGUUCGAUUCCGGAGAGGGAGCCUGAGAAACGGCUACCACAUCUAAGGAAGGCAGCAGG
rnacentral:rRNA from 1 species